GAUCAACGCUGGCGGCGUGCCUAAUGCAUGCAAGUCGGACGGGCUGGGGUUCGCCCCAGUCACGUGGCGGACGGGUGCGUAGCACGUGGGCAACCUGCCCUGGGGCGGGGGAUAGCCGGGGGAAACCGCGGGCAAUUCCGCAUACGUUGCCGGGUCGGCAGGACCGGGCAAGAAAGGCUCGUUGGAGCCACCCCAGGAGGGGCCUGCGGCCGAUUAGCUGGUUGGGGGGUAACGGCUUCCCAAGGCGAUGAUCGGUAGCUGGUCUGAGAGGACGGCCAGCCACACGGGGACUGAGACACGGCCCCGACUCCUACGGGAGGCAGCAGCAAGGAAUCUUCCGCAAUGGGCGAUAAGCCUGACGGAGCAACGCCGCGUGGGGGAUGACCCACUUCGGUGCGUAAA
rnacentral:rRNA from 1 species